rnacentral:lncRNA from 1 species
AACUGAAUAAGGAGUUGAAGGAACAUGUCUCCAACUAAAUCCAUCUAGUAACUGAAUAGUAAAUAUAGCAAUAAUCAUAUCAUUCUCAAAUGAGAAGGACUCACUGCAAACUCUGAACACUGGAAUGCUACUACUGAUCUAGAGCUUGUGCCUCUGAACCUAUGGUGUAACAUAAGAUAAAGCAUCAUAGCACAAAUGCAUCAGUAUGUCUGAAUGUACUGAGUAUACGAGUGAGGUAGGCUAAAUGGAAAGGGUUGUAUGCAUGAACAAUGCUGACUUAUAUGAAUGUGAGAAUACAUACAUGCAUACAUAAAUGAAACUAAACUCGUGAAGAUACUGACUACUGAGUCUGAAUACUGACAACAUGAGUAUACUGAUACUUAGAUACUGAAUAGAUGUAAGACUAGUUCAUGAGUAAUUCAACAGUGUUCACAAGACACAUUAUCAACAUGGAUGGCAUUGAAUCAUAGAGGCCUAUCAUGAAUCCUUUCCUUAGUCACAAUUUAGCUAUAAUGCAUGAUUUCUUAGGUAUUUGAGCAAACACCUUACAUGCACAACUUAGGCAUAGGUGUAAAUCAUACAAUUACUCAUCAUAAAUAAUCAAACUUACAUGUUUUCAACUCAUAUUAUGUCGUAGAUUCAUAAUAACACAUAAAGAUUCUAUCUUGGCAUCAUUCAACACAUAAACAUGAUCAACAAUCCAUUCAUAACAUGAAAACCAUAAUAUAUAGUUUUAGAAAAGGGUUCUUUAACUUCAUGGAUGAAAGGAGUCCAUGAAUGAACACACUCAUAUCUUAAAGCUUGAUCUUGAAAGAGAUAUAAUGUUUCUUGAAGGUUCUCAAAGAAAUCCUUAGGCUUGCUAUUGAUUUUUCUUAACUAGGGUUUAACCCCUUUGGGAGAGAAUGUUCUUAUUCUUGAGGAGAUGAUCUUGAGAGGAAACCCUAAUCUUGUGGUUGAAAGUGUAUGAGAAAGCUUUUUGAGAUGUUUAACUAAAGAGAAUGGAAGAUAAUACGUUCCUUGAGGGUUAUAAGUCGUGAGAAGUGAAGGAAAAGGACCAAAAUACCCUUACUAAAAUGUCCUUCAAUUGUAAAACAUGCACUUGCCUAGUUAAUGAGUAAAAUAAUGCUACUCUUGCUAUAAACUGUAAUUUUACAAAAGUGUUGUUAUUUAUUAUAAUUAUAAUCUUAAAUAUGCUACUUUCUAUAAUUUUUUUGCCUGUAGGUAUAUCUAUCUUGGACUGAUUAGCAAGAUGGAAGCUGCAACAUCUAAUGAUCAUAACUUAACUCCCCCUCCCUUUUAUGUUAUGUCGUUGAUGCUAUCAAUAUUGACAGGACUUGGUAUUCAAUGCAGGGUGUAUAUAUUGUUGCUAUAAAGUGCAACGUAAUGAAGGCAAACACGAAUUUUGAGAAAUCACAUAUGAAAGGGGAAUGAAGUACCAAGGAUGAGAAUGGAGGUAGUAUAUUAAGGCUUUCCAACAAAUUUAAACUUUAUUAUGACUAUUGCCCCUUUUAAUUCUUGUACAUCGUGUUCAAGGAUAUAUUUUUAUUCAUUACAAAUCAUUCUUGAUUGUGAAAAUGAUGUACAACUCCCUCUAAUAUUUGCUUCUUUUGUUAUCUUCUUCAGGAAAUGAGGCACAGUCAACUUUGAGAGACAACAAUAAUACAAUUAAUGUAUUUCUUCAAUUUAUGUGCAUGGCUGGACCAUUGUGUAUCACAAUUUUUAAAGAAAGAGAUUUGGGUGCUUUCAUCAAGCUUGAAGGAUUGAUGUUAUAGUAGGAUGAUUCGUUAAAGCACUUAUGUGAACACCCUCGCUAAGGAUCCUCUAUUAGAGGAUGAUGCAUCACUUAUUGAAGUAAUCUAUGUAUAUAUGUGAUUUAUUUUGUUGGAUAAGAAUCUAAAAUUUAUUUGAGAAAAUAUCUAUUUUGCACGGAGUGUUAAUUGACGAAGAAGCUUGCAAGAAAGAAGGCGAUAGACAAUCUAUUGAUAACUGGAUUUCUGCACCUAUCUAGAAGUGAUUGUGCUUCAUCUAUCAUUGAUUCCCUUAGCUGCAACCUCCUGUGCCUUGUACGGUUAUUAGAUGUCACACCCUUUUUUUAACUCAAAAAAAGAUUAUGAUUUUAAGUUCGAAAGGGUUUUUAUUAUUAAAGUGACAAAAGAAGAAGAUUUGUUUCGAAAAGGACUAUUAUAUUCAAAACUCAGAGUCUCUACUUGGCAUAAAUCGGGUGUGCCAAGUCACCUUUGGAAAUCCUUUUUCAAAACGGUUUUGACUCUAAACUGAUCUGCGAACAGAGAUUCCGACUAAGGAAUUCUGUUGACCGAGGGGAAGGUGUUAGGCACCCCUCGUCCCGUGGUUCGACCACGGUCGCUUGGUAGAGCAUAUCGGCUAAUUUUGACAUUAAGGAUGUAUAAACCACAUAAACACACAGCAAAUCAAGCACACAAACAAAUCACACAAAAUUCAAAACCAAAAUAAUGUACAGUCGAACUUAUACAGUCCAAAAUAUAAAAAAACAUACGGAAAGGUAAAACCUAUUCUCUUCUAAACUAAUCCUACACUGAACUCCAACCCGCCGCCUCGGGCCUUCGUCACGAACGUCUUUCGAGUACAAAAUACUUCGGGACAUUCUCCGACGAAUAAACACAAAUACCUCAGGGCAUUCCCCGGCUAAAUGAAUACACUUCCAAAUACGACAAAAACAACAUUCAACGAAUAUUUUCAUCAUUCAAAAGUCCUAAUUUUGCCUGCCCGAGCCUACCGUUUGCCUAUCCAGCAUAACCUAUCAUGGUACUAUCACAAUCAGCAAUAUCAAUGAACCAAAACAAUAAUAUUUCAACUUAUUCGAUUAUCAAUUCCCCCAAAUCAUUCCCAAUCACAUGAUUAAUCAAUGUUGACAUAAACUCAAGCAAUCAAAGUCAUAAUCACAACGCUUAAAAUUUCUCAAACACACUAUCAAAAUAUAUCACCAACCCAACAUGAAUCAUGCAAGCCACAACAUCAAAACAUCAACUCUAUAAUAAGAUAGUAAUAGAAAGAGAUAGAGUUGAAAAUUUGGACCUCAAAUUUGACGUUUUAUUUUAAUUGAAUUGCUCGACUAAGCGGCGCUGGAAUACCUCAAUUUGAACCUCAAAUAUGAACCCUAACUCGGAAUAGAUUUCAAUGAGCAUGGACUAAAUCGAAAGUAAAAUCGGGGUUUGCUUAACUGCUCUCUAUAGUCGUAGCUCCGGCGAGCUCCGAUUACCAAAAACGAAGAAGGAAUACGGCUGUGAUGCAUUUUUUGGUGAACCCGUCGCUGGUACAGUAACCAAGCCAUGAAAACUUGUGUUCCCUCAGCCCCGUGUUACUCUCCACUCUCUCGAUCUCAACUCUCUCUUCUCGAUCUCCCUGUUUUGGUUCCAAAUUUUCCUUCAAGCAGUCCUUAAUUCUUUAUUUUCUUUUAAACCUUUUGAUAUCUCCGGCCAAACCACUUGAUCUCUCCUCUCACGUCAUUCUCCUGUCAUCUCUCUCUCUCUCUCUAUUUGUGUAUUAUGCGAGUAUGGUUGAGUGAUGAUGAAAAUGGAGGAGGGUGCAUGUAUGACUGUUGCUUGAGGAUGAGUAUGAAUUGUUUUCUAUUUUGUGGUCUAUAAUAUUUCUGUUUGUGUGUUGAGUGAUCUUGAAAAAGAUAAAAAGAAAGCAAUGGAGUGUGUUUGUUCUAUUUUUUUUUGGUGAGGAUCCACUGAAUUGUGAGUAUGUGUGUGAAUUGUGAGUGAAGGUCCCCUCCUUUUUGUCUUGUGUUGGUGUUUAUGUGAAUGAUUUUUUUUUUUUAGAGCAAAAGUAUUUUCCAGUGGGUUCUCUUUUUGCUU